ACUUGUCAUACCACCCUGAAUACGCCCGAUCUCGUCUGAUCGCGGAAGCUAAGCAGGGUUGGGCCUGGUUAGUACUUGGAUGGGAGACCGCCUGGGAAUACCAGGUGCUGUAAGUG
rnacentral:rRNA from 10 species